rnacentral:rRNA from 1 species
UUCCGUACACUCAGGGAUAGCCUUUCGAAAGAAAGAUUAAUACCUGAUGGUAUCUUAAGCACACAUGUAAUUAAGAUUAAAGAUUUAUCGGUGUACGAUGGGGAUGCGUUCCAUUAGGUAGUAGGCGGGGUAACGGCCCACCUAGCCUACGAUGGAUAGGGGUUCUGAGAGGAAGGUCCCCCACAUUGGAACUGAGACACGGUCCAAACUCCUACGGGAGGCAGCAGUGAGGAAUAUUGGUCAAUGGACGAGAGUCUGAACCAGCCAAGUAGCGUGAAGGAUGAAGGUCCUACGGAUUGUAAACUUCUUUUAUAAGGGAAUAAACCCUCCCACGUGUGGGAGCUUGUAUGUACCUUAUGAAUAAGCAUCGGCUAACUCCGUGCCAGCAGCCGCGGUAAUACGGAGGAUGCGAGCGUUAUCCGGAUUUAUUGGGUUUAAAGGGAGCGCAGACGGGUCGUUAAGUCAGCUGUGAAAGUUUGGGGCUCAACCUUAAAAUUGCAGUUGAUACUGGCGUCCUUGAGUGCGGUUGAGGUGUGCGGAAUUCGUGGUGUAGCGGUGAAAUGCUUAGAUAUCACGAAGAACUCCGAUUGCGAAGGCAGCACACUAAGCCGUAACUGACGUUCAUGCUCGAAAGUGUGGGUAUCAAACAGGAUUAGAUACCCUGGUAGUCCACACGGUAAACGAUGGAUACUCGCUGUUGGCGAUAUACGGUCAGCGGCUUAGCGAAAGCGUUAAGUAUCCCACCUGGGGAGUAC